AAAAAUUUAGUUAAAAUAAUAACAUUAGCUUGUCAAGCCAAAAUCAUCUAAUAGAUAAUUUUUA
rnacentral:tRNA from 1 species